rnacentral:rRNA from 1 species
AUUGAACGCUGGCGGCAUGCCUAACACAUGCAAGUCGAACGGGGCAGCAAUGCCUAGUGGCGGACGGGUGAGGAAUACGUAGGAAUCUGCCCUUAAGUGGGGGAUAACCAGGGGAAACCCUGACUAAUACCGCAUGAUCUCUUCGGAGCAAAGAGGGGGACCGCAAGGCCUCUCGCUUCUGGAUGAGCCUACGUCUGAUUAGCUAGUUGGUAGGGUAAAGGCCUACCAAGGCGACGAUCAGUAACUGGUCUGAGAGGAUGAUCAGUCUCACCGGAACUAAGACACGGUCCGGACUCCUACGGGAGGCAGCAGUGGGGAAUAUUGGACAAUGGGCGCAAGCCUGAUCCAGCAAUGCCGCGUGUGUGAAGAAGGCCUUCGGGUUGUAAAGCACUUUAGCCUGGAAAGAAAAAACUUUGGUUAACACCCAAAGUCUUGACGGUACCAGGAGAAUAAGCACCGGCUAACUCCGUGCCAGCCGCCGCGGUAACAC